rnacentral:rRNA from 1 species
GAUGAACGCUGGCGGCGUGCCUAAUACAUGCAAGUCGAGCGAACGGACGAGAAGCUUGCUUUUCUGAUGUUAGCGGCGGACGGGUGAGUAACACGUGGAUAACCUACCUAUAAGACUGGGAUAACUUCGGGAAACCGGAGCUAAUACCGGAUAAUAUUUUGAACCGCAUGGUUCAAAAGUGAAAGACGGUCUUGCUGUCACUUAUAGAUGGAUCCGCGCUGCAUUAGCUAGUUGGUAAGGUAACGGCUUACCAAGGCAACGAUGCAUAGCCGACCUGAAAGGGUGAUCGGCCACACUGGAACUGAGCCACGGUCCAGACUCCUACGGGAGGCAGCAGUAGGGAAUCUUCCGCAAUGGGCGAAAGCCUGACGGAGCAACGCCGCGUGAGUGAUGAAGGUCUUCGGAUCGUAAAACUCUGUUAUUAGGGAAGAACAUAUGUGUAAGUAACUGUGCACAUCUUGACGGUACCUAAUCAGAAAGCCACGGCUAACUACGUG